UUAGUUCAGUAAAAGUAACUACACUGACACCUGUGAAAAUAUCAGGAGAAGAUCUGUCAUUUCUUUUAGGUGCUCUCAGCUAAAAUCUGAACAUUAUCUGAAGAAGGGAAGAGAAAAUGCACCAAGAUCUGAAAUCAAACUAAAGCUGUUUGAUAAUCAGCUUGGUUCUUCAGAGAAGAUGACUCAUCCCAGUAUGAUGACAAAGGUCACUAUGUGAUGGAUAUUCCUGGUCCAACUCCGGAAAGGCCUGUCAUUGUGUGGAGGGGUGAGUCGAGAUUAAAAAGGAAACAACAGGAGCAAGAGAAAUCAGGCCGAGAAAAUUUGCAAGAACAGAGUUGCAUGUUUUACCAACUGAGCCAGCCAGGUUCAAAAGCAAGACCUGAAACCUGGAACCACCAACAUUUAUGGACAGAAUUACAAGUGGCUGAGAGGAGAAAAAGAAACAUCCACAGAGGAAUCAAGGAAGCCUUGAAAAGAAAAGCCAAGAUGGACAAUUUUUGAAUAAAAGACCUUCUUGUCCACUUAUUUAUUAAUUCAGUAUAUAUUAAAUAAGUGUUUACUAUGUGCCAGUUACUAUCUUGGGAAUAUAUUGGUACACGAAAUAAGUGUGAUCCCUACCACCAUGAAGGUUUAAGUUCAAUGGGAAGGAAGAACAAUUGUUUUUGCAAAGUUGUAAUAAUAAAGUACAAGGUGCAACAUGAGCA
rnacentral:lncRNA from 12 species